rnacentral:tRNA from 1 species
GUUGAUAUAAGCCUAAUUGGUAAGGCAGCGGUUUGCUAAACCGUGAGUAAUCCCUUCGGAUGUCUCGGUUCGAAUCCGAGUAUCAACGCCA